rnacentral:rRNA from 1 species
UACGUAGGGUGCAAGCGUUGUCCGGAAUUAUUGGGCGUAAAGAGCUCGUAGGUGGCCUGUCGCGUCGGCUGUGAAAACUCGGGGCUCAACUCCGAGCUUGCAGUCGAUACGGGCAGGCUAGAGUUCGGCAGGGGAGACUGGAAUUCCUGGUGUAGCGGUGAAAUGCGCAGAUAUCAGGAGGAACACCAGUGGCGAAGGCGGCUUCCUGGUCUGCAACUGACGCUGUGGCGCGAAAGCUAGGGGAGCAAACGGG